GAUGAAGAACGUAGCGAAAUGCGAUAAGUAGUGUGAAUUGCAGAAUUCAGUGAAUCAUCGAAUCUUUGAACGCACAUUGCGCCCUUUGGUAUUCCUUAGGGCAUGCCUGUUCGAGCGUCAUUUAAACCUUCAAGCUCAGCUUGGUGUUGGGUGACUGUCCGCUUCACCGCGGACUCGCCUCAAAAUUAUUGGCGGCCGGUACAUUGGCUUCGAGCGCAGCAGAAACGCGAACUCGGGCCCGUCGUAUUGGCUCCCAGAAGCUAUCUUCACAAUUUUGACCUCGGAUCAGGUAGGGAUACCCGCUGAACUUAAGCAUACAAAAGCGGAGGA
rnacentral:misc_RNA from 1 species